rnacentral:rRNA from 1 species
UGGGGAAUUUUGGACAAUGGGGGAAACCCUGAUCCAGCCAUGCCGCGUGUAUGAAGAAGGCCUUAGGGUUGUAAAGUACUUUUGUUAGGGAAGAAAAGCUAGUUUUUAAUAAAAAUUAGUGAUGACGGUACCUAAAGAAUAAGCACCGGCUAACUACGUGCCAGCAGCCGCGGUAAUACGUAGGGUGCAAGCGUUAAUCGGAAUUAUUGGGCGUAAAGCGAGUGCAGACGGUUACUUAAGCCAGAUGUGAAAUCCCCAAGCUUAACUUGGGACGUGCAUUUGGAACUGGGUGACUAGAGUGUGUCAGAGGGAGGUAGAAUUCCACAUGUAGCGGUGGAAUGCGUAGAGAUGUGGAGGAAUACCGAUGGCGAAGGCAGCCUCCUGGGAUAACACUGACGUUGAGGCUCGAAAGCGUGGGGAGCAAACAGGAUUAGAUACCCUGGUAGUCCACGCCCUAAACGAUGACAAUUAGCUGUUGGGCUUUGAAAGGCUUAGUAGUGAAGCUAACGCGAGAAAUUGUCCGCCUGGGGAGUACGGUCGCAAGAUUA